GAAAGUGAGAAAGCAGAAUCUCUUGUAUUUGGUUAUAAUGAGAGACAUCAAUGAUAGCAGGUUUUCAGUUAAGCAUCACACAGAAACAUGUUCUAAUAAGUAAAAAAGAAUCAAGUUCAUGUAAAAUAACAGUUUGCUCUCAGGCAUACUUGCAAGGGUAGGUUUAAACAACUCACUACAUGCAAAAAAUUUUAACAUAUUUAGAAAACAUAUAAAAGUGGGGAACUACUUCAAUGUGUUGUCAUGAUUGUCCUGGUUUAAUCUGAAGAAAAUAUUCCUUAAAUUAGUAAUUCUCAUUAUUACUUCUCCAAAUCAUACUUACAGCAGGACCUUGGCUACCCUGAGAGCCACGAAUGCCAGCAGGUCCAACUGUUCCAGGAUGUCCAGAGCGACCAUCUUUGCCAAUAGGGCCAGAAGGACCAGCAGGGCCCUGAGGAGGGAAGACACCAAGACUGUAUGAGCCAGUGAAAACCCCACAAGGGGGCAGAGGCUUGGGGCUCACUGUCUGUUAGAACUCUUCCCCAGGUACAUACACUAGGACCUCUUGGACCAAUGGCACCAACAGGACCAACGGAGCCCACAGGACCCUGUGAAUUGGAAAAGAAAAAUGCCAUUUAUCAGUCAAACUCUGGAUCCUCCUCCCAGGUCCCCACAGUUCCCAAGUGUGGGAGGUCAGAAGUGAAGCCUAUGAGGAUGACAACAGUAAGAGACCAGAGGCCAGGUCUCGUGGCUAGAGUAAAUGAAGAUGUAUUUUGAAGUGAUUUACUUACAGAGGGUCCAGGAGGACCAGUACGUCCAGCAGCACCAGGGAAACCAACAGCACCCUA